UACGUAGGGGGCAAGCGUUGUCCGGAAUUAUUGGGCGUAAAGAGCGCGUAGGCGGUCCGAUAAGUCGGCUGUGAAAGUCAAGGGCUCAACCCUUGAAAGCCGGCCGAUACUGUCGGACUAGAGUCCGGAAGAGGCGAGUGGAAUUCCUGGUGUAGCGGUGAAAUGCGCAGAUAUCAGGAAGAACACCCGUGGCGAAGGCGGUUCUCUGGGACGGUACUGACGCUGAGACGCGAAAGCGUGGGGAGCGAACAGG
rnacentral:rRNA from 1 species